AGAGUUUGAUCCUGGCUUAGGAUGAACGCUAGCUACAGGCUUAACACAUGCAAGUCGAGGGGCAGCAUGGAGUUUGCUUGCAAACUCUGAUGGCGACCGGCGCACGGGUGAGUAACGCGUAUCCAACCUUCCCUAUAGUAGAGGAUAGCCCGGCGAAAGUCGGAUUAAUACUCUAUGUUUUCCGUUGCAGACAUCUAAGAUGGAACAAAGGCUUGCCGCUAUAGGAUGGGGAUGCGUCUGAUUAGGUAGUCGGCGGGGUAACGGCCCACCGAGCCAUCGAUCAGUAGGGGUUCUGAGAGGAAGGUCCCCCACAUUGGAACUGAGACACGGUCCAAACUCCUACGGGAGGCAGCAGUGAGGAAUAUUGGUCAAUGGACGAGAGUCUGAACCAGCCAAGUAAGCGUGCAGGACGACGGCCCUAUGGGUUGUAAACUGCUUUUAUGCGGGGAUAAAGUUCACUACGUGUAGUGUUUUGUAGGUACCGCAUGAAUAAGGACCGGCUAAUUCCGUGCCAGCCGCCGC
rnacentral:rRNA from 1 species